AACGAACGCUGGCGGCAUGCCUAACACAUGCAAGUCGAACGAGACCUUCGGGUCUAGUGGCGCACGGGUGUGUAACGCGUGGGAACCUUCCCUUAGGUUCGGAAUAACUCUCCGAAAGGGGUGCUAAUACCGGAUAAUGUCUUCGGACCAAAGAUUUAUCGCCCUUGGUUGGGCCCGCGUUGGAUUAGCUAGUUGGUAGGGUAAUAGCCUACCACGGCGACGAUCCAUAGCUGGUUAGAGAGGAUGAUCAGCCACACUGGGACUGGGAAACGGCCUAGACUCCUACGGAAGGGGGCAGUGGGGGAUAGAGGACAACGGGGUGAAGGCUGAACCAGCUAUGCCGGGUGAGUGCUGAAGGCCGUAGGGUUGUAAAGCUCUUUUAACCAGGAUGAUAAUGACAGUACCGGGAGAAUAAGCCCCGGCUAACUCCGUG
rnacentral:rRNA from 1 species